rnacentral:lncRNA from 1 species
UUGGCUUCGUGUGAAAGGUCUCGAGCUAGGAAUUCCCGUAUCAUCCUCUCCAUCUUGAAGGGAAUUUGUCCUCAAAUUCGGAUCAUUGCCAUCCUCCACCGUUUCCACCCGAGAGAGAUCACACACGUUGAAAGUGUUGUGCACUUGAUAUUCUGGGGGUAGAUCAAUCUUGUAGGCAUUGUCGUUGAUCCUUUCUAAUACUUAGAAUGGGCCAUCACCCCGUGGCAUCAACUUAGCAUUCCUUUGAGACGGG